rnacentral:lncRNA from 1 species
AAGAAAAAAAGCAACUGCUCCACUGCUCCCUGCUUCCUCUCUGAACUCAUAGCCCAGGGCACCAGGCACGAAAUAGGGGAGGGAACAGGUAUUGCUCAGCACAGCAAACCCUUCUGGCAUCACACUCAGGCUGCAACUGCAGCACUGGCAGUUAGUUGCAGCCUCCAGUUUUUGCCUCAGAGGGGUUUUUUAAGAGGGAAAGUGUUAGUGAAUGUAGAAAGUUGCAGAGUCAGAAAAACCACAAGGUUUACAAGUGAUCUGAGUGUCCUUGAGAAGAACAACAGAAAAGCAAUACGGAAGCACAGCUCUGGAGCUGACUGGGGCACCUGGACCUUUCUCACCUCUCCUUUUGUUCUUGCACUGCUGGGAAAGAUGGAUGGAUGUAUGCUGACAGACUCAAUCCUGGGUGGGCUGGAGUGGCAGGUCUUUGGCAUGGCACAGAGCAGAUGGAGUUUAACAUGGAGUUCAGCAGAUGGACACAAACAUCUUGAGGAAAGGAGCAGCCGCUUUAGGGCUUGAUGCAAGCCAACAGAAAUGAAUGGAAAACCUCCAAUUGCCUUGAAUCAGGCCCCUUUGUCAAGAACAUGAGCACAAAGGCAGAGGUCAGGUACAGGAAUUUUGUGGGGGUCUUGGUGUUGGGUUCAGAAUGCACCUGGGAGCAAGAAGCAGGUUUGGUUCAGCUUUGCACCCUUGGAAAGCCACCAACUGCCACACGUUCUUAAAACAGCAACCAGGAACAUCAGAAGCAGAGAACAGUGCUGUAAUGCAGGCAGUCCUGGGCGGGAAAAAGUAAAUGUUUAACAGAUCAGAGGAACGUUAGACAUGUUUAACUCCAAAAAUGAAGAACAACUGCAUCCUUGCCAGAACAAGAACAGAGAAAACAUUUUAACAACUGACCUGGAAAAAGCAACUACGGUUGAGACAUAACCUAUUGCAUUGUCUCUCUCAGGAAUGACCAACAUCACAUUCAGGUGGCAUGAAAAUUGCUUUGUAACCCCCCUCUUUUUACUUCUAUAUAAAUACACUGCUUGUAGUGCUUCCCACUUACACUUCAUCUGUUAUUAACAGCAACUGUGGAAAUCCUUGAAGCCUCCCUCAGCAGACACUAAACAGGGAUUUGAAUUAAGAUCCUGCUGCAGAAAACAUCUUUGCACUUUUAAGUCCUGUACCAUGGUGAAAAUUUUGCAAAUCACUAAGGGAGUCUGAAGGUGCUCCCAGACUCUCCCUUCUCCUUCUCCACCAGUUAUGCUGUUUCGGAGAGAUUUUUCACAGUGCACCACAUAUGUGGGUCUUCAGUAUUUACCUUAGAGAAACAGUUGUGGUUUUCACGCAAUGCGUUCUAAAGCAUGCUGGCGCUUUAAUAACUGAAUGCCACAUUAGCUCCACUUUUCCUUAGAAGGAAGUGAUAAAAUAGCUAAUUUAUACUGUCUCUUAAAUGCACAAUGCAAAGUCACUGUGUUUUUUCCUGUUCUGUGGGAUGGUGAGGCAUGAAAAGUUGACUAUUGUUGCGUACAUGACGCUGUUCCCCUAUUUUUCCUGCAUGUGCAGGAAAAUGGAGACUGUCUUUACUAGAAGUGUUUAUGGAGCAGGAAUGCUGAGGUGAACUGAAACUGCAGAGCAAGUUGCCUGGCCUGAAACAUGAGCAGGAUACCAGCAGCAUAACUUUGGUGGUCUCAAAAAUAAAAUAAAGUGCUAUUUUAACUGAUCA